rnacentral:rRNA from 1 species
CCUUCACCAGGCCAAGGAGCCGGCAUCAGACACAACCCCUGUCCACAACGCCUAGUCUCACCACACCCCCAAGGGUCAUCAGCAGUGAUAAAUCUUGAGCAUAAGCGAUAGCUUGACUCAGUUAGAGAAAAGAGGGCCGGCCAACCCGGUGCCAGCCGCCGCGGCUACCCCGUGGGGCUCAAGUUGAAAGUCAUCGGCGUUAAGCGUGAUUAAAGUUCUCUUAGAUUAGGGCCAAAUUAAUAUUUAGUUGUUUAAAGCUUGUUAUUAAGAAGAACACAAACGAAAGUUGCCCUAACCCACACACUUGAAUACACGACAGCUGGGGGACAAACUGGGAUCAGAUACCCCACUAUGCCCAGCCGUAAACAAUUAAUCCACAACCAUAAGCGCCAGGGAAUUACGAGCCAAGCUUAAAACCCAAAGGAUUUGACGGUGUCCCACCCCCCUAGAGGAGCCUGUUCUAUAAUCGAUGAUCCCCGCUACACCCGACCAUUUCUUGCUUAUCAGUCUGUAUACCUCCGUCGAAAGCUUACCAUGUGAACGCCCCCACAGUAGGUUCAAUGAUCUCCGUCAAUACGUCAGGUCAAGGUGCAGCUUAAGAAAUGGGAAGCGAUGGGCUACAAUUUCUAACUUAGAACAAACGAAAGGCUAUGUGAAACCAUAGUCACGAAGGCGGAUUUAGUAGUAAAAAGAAAAUAGAGUGUUCUUUUUAACCUGGCUCUGGGACGCGUA